AUACGGCCAUAUCAGACUGAAACACCGGUUACCGUACGAUUACCGAAGUUAAGCAAAGUCGAGCCUGAUGUUUAACUAGAUGGGUGACCGUGUAGGAAUACUAUCUGC